UCAUUCACCUCUUCAUUGCCCUGUGAUCUCUGUCUCUGUAUUUUCUGUUCUAUUGUCUUCUUCCCUCCAUU
rnacentral:sRNA from 1 species